GUAGAGAUCAGGUUUGAUUGGGGAGACCUCCUGAAAAUUUUGAUAAUAAAGAAAUAAACCAAGAAAAAAUACAAGACGGGUGAUGUAUAUGCUAGUCCUUCUGCAUGGGAACAGCUCUGAGACUGGACAACAACUGUUACAACUAGUUUUUCCAUAAUGUGACCAUUGUCUCGGUUUUCUCAGGGUGCCUUGGAGAUACUGUUGCCUCCAGACAACGGGGAGCGGUCUAGAGAACACAACACCCACACUCCCAAGAGUGAGACAUGUCUACUCCUGGCAGCACCAAUCUACUUCAUAAAAGAAUGAUGGGCAUCCAAGAACCUCCAUACAGAGUUUGCUUUCAUUGUGGCAAGGUAGCCAUUUGGGCAAGAAACUGUCUUUGCUUCGACAGCUGACCAUCCAAACUGGACAUGCAGGACACAAAGGAAAGAGACUGCCCAACUGUGUCAGGACAAGGUCCAGAACAACAGGGCCAGUCUUGGAGAGGAACCUUUCAAAGCUGCAAAUUCAACUUCUUUUUUAACAAGUUGAACAUCUCAGGUAUUUUUCUUCAGUGAUGGAAAAUCUGGCUAACACAAACCUCCAUCCGCGGUACCAGUGGGAGACGAGAUUAGAUCUGGCUUCGGUUACUCCGUGUGUACCACAUGACUCCUUGGUUUCAUUGAUUACAUCAUCAGAGCAGCACAUCCUCUGACACUGGCACAGAAUGGUCCUCAGACUAAAGAAAGCAAACGUGUAUAUGGCCAGUUAUAUCUUCUCAGAGACUGGACGGAACAAAAGCCCUGUGUGGUGGAUGGUAGAGACAACGAAGGGAUGUCUCUCUCCAUUCCCAGGGAGGUAAUUACGUAGCAUUCCUAAAACCAAAGAUUUUGUUCCUGUAAUUUUUUUUUUUUUUUUAAUCAAGGUGCUAACCUAUCUGGCUACACGGACAGAAGGAGCUUGUUCUCGCUGCCCUUGCAUCUCGCUAGCUGCCGGAGCCUAGCCCUGGAGGAGGGUGUGGGCCCGGGGCCCAGUUCUGCUAGCUGUCGAAGUGUGUGUUCUCGCACCAAAGGUGGUGCUUUCCUGUUUCUCCCCAGAGUCGUGGUUCUGUGGUUUUCUAAGCAACCAUUGAAGCCUGCUGUUUCAAGAACUGAGUUUCAACAACAAGUGGGUUUUGCAAAGAAAGCAACAUAGAUUCUAGAUGAGCAUGGAGUGACAAAUCUACCUGUAGAGUUUCUCUACCCAUAUGUGAAAAAUGGAAAGCGACGAAAGUCCCCAGUGCCUCAAAGAAAUCUAUUAUCUAUCUGUCUAUCUAUCUAUCUAUCUAUCUAUCUAUCUAUCUAUCUAUCUAUCUAUCUAUCUAUCAUCUAUCAUCUGUCUGUCUGUCAUCUACUACUAUUUUACAUUCGUCUAUUUAUGAGCAAGGAAAGAACAGAAAGUUCUUGAAGGAGUUGCAAGACAAAGCUUUGGGUAAUGUCACUUCUAGAAACAGGUGGGGUCAGUAACAUUUUCAGCAUGCCCCCCAACCCUCACGCUGACAGGGAAACAGUUAAAUAGGCUGAUUUUUUUUCCCCUUUUGUGAUCAUGGAGCUGAAAGCUCCUCUGGCAGGAAGUACGUGACCUUAGCAUGUGGGCUGGCUCCCCUGCCUGGAAGCCAAGGCCUUGAUGAGCUGUACUGCAGGGGAAGUGAAGCCCUGAGAUGUCCCCUGUGGAGACAGGAGGCACCAUCUGCUGGUUUAGGGCUUUAACCAAAUCGGAAAAAUUCAAGAGAGCUCUCAAAGGGAAACAUUUUAAGACAAAAGCCACACUUUGCCUCACUUGAACUCCCCCAACACCAUCUUUGGCAUUCUUUCAGGAUUUAAAAAAGUCGUAGUUCUCAUAGGAAAAAGUCUCAGAUAAAAUGGGAAGAACAUUGAAAUGUCAAUCAAGCCCCAUUAGACCAAGUACAAUGAGCAGGCUGAACAGAAAUGUCAUGGUUACAGUGAAAAUAUUUUUUGGCAAGAAAGGAAGUAAGACAAAUCAGUAAGUCCAUCCUAGGGGAAAAAAAACUUAACUCCAGGAAGAGAGGAAAUGCAGCACAAUUAUUUCAUGAUAUGGAGUAAAAAAAUUUUUUUUAGUUUUAGCUAUUUUAAUUUUUGGAAUAUGCAACCAGUCAGAUUUAGAAAAUAUUCAAAGACAAUACUGAAAAAAAAAAGACAACAGAAUAGAGGAAGACUUCAGAUCCCAGGAAACAAAAUGAAAAUCAAUCCAAUAAACACUUAUUUCGUGAGUUAGAAGUAGCCAACACUAGAAUAAAAAUGACUAGAACUGGAUUUCUGACAACACAGUGUUCAAGGAAAAAGAACCGUGUGGGGAGAAAGGUAAAAGCAUAUUAAAGAAAAGAAAACCAGGCUGAACUUAGCAUCCCAGCACCAUCCAACAAACAAUGUUAUAAGCAAUGAAUGGGGCAUGCUCUGUCAAUCGGAGAAGGAAGAGCGGCCCAAGGCCACACACUCCAGCGGGACUCCUCAGGGACAAAGGUGACAGGCAGACAUCCUCAAACUCAAAGCAACGGUGGGGAUGGGAUGUCUACAGAAGGAUGCCUGAAUGUAAAGUCUCCUCGAUGAAAGGAUUCAUCAAAAUACACAGAAAUGAUACUGAGACGCCUUGGUCGGACUCUUCAACCUGUUAAAAUACAUGGUGGUGAAUAUCUAAACUAUGUAAGAACAAUGAUUAUUGACUAGAAUGUGAAUACUCUAGAGAUGUACAGUGCAAAAGCAAAAAAUAAAAAUGAUUCAUAGCUCUUAAUGUCUUUUACAAUAAA